AUUACCUUAGUAACGGCGAGUGAAGCGGUAAAAGCUCAAAUUUGAAAUCUGACUUCGGUCCGAGUUGUAAUUUGUAGAGGAUGUUUUGGGCACCGAUUUAAUUUAAAUUUCUUGGAACAGAAUGUCAAAGAGGGUGAGAAUCCCGUCUUGAAUUAAAUUAGGACCCGUGUAAAACUCCUUCAAUGAGUCGAGUUGUUUGGGAAUGCAGCUCAAAAUGGGUGGUAAAUUUCAUCUAAAGCUAAAUAUUGGCCAGAGACCGAUAGCGCACAAGUAGAGUGAUCGAAAGAUGAAAAGCACUUUGAAAAGAGAGUUAAACAGUAUGUGAAAUUGUUGAAAGGGAAGCGCUUAUAACCAGACUUGAUUAAACAGUUCCCCAUUCCUUUUGGUUUGGUUAUUCUGUUUUAUUCAGGCCAACAUCAGUUUUAAUGGUUGGUUAAAGGCUUGAAGAAUGUAUCUACCUCCGGGUCGACUUAUAGCUUCGAGUGUCAUGCAACCUAUUGAGACUGAGGCAUGCGAUUUCUCGGAUGUUGGCGUAAUGGUUGUCAGCGGCCCGUCUUGAAACACGGA
rnacentral:rRNA from 1 species